rnacentral:rRNA from 1 species
GACGAACGCUGGCGGCGUGCCUAAUACAUGCAAGUAGAACGCUGAGGGAGGAGCUUGCUUCUCUGGAUGAGUUGCGAACGGGUGAGUAACGCGUAGGUAACCUGCCUGGUAGCGGGGGAUAACUAUUGGAAACGAUAGCUAAUACCGCAUAAGAGUAGAUGUCGCAUGACAUUUGCUUAAAAGGUGCAAUUGCAUCACUACCAGAUGGACCUGCGUUGUAUUAGCUAGUUGGUGAGGUAACGGCUCACCAAGGCAACGAUACAUAGCCGUCCUGAGAGGGUGAUCGGCCACACUGGGACUGAGACACGGCCCAGACUCCUACGGGAGGCAGCAGUAGGGAAUCUUCGGCAAUGGACGGAAGUCUGACCGAGCAACGCCGCGUGAGUGAAGAAGGUUUUCGGAUCGUAAAGCUCUGUUGUAAGAGAAGAACGAGUGUGAGAGUGGAAAGUUCACACUGUGACGGUAUCUUACCAGAAAGGGACGGCUAACUACGUG